AGAAUAUUAUUCUAUCAGUUAUAUUAGUUGUCAUCGGUGCUAUUAUCUUGGGGAUCGCAGCUUAUUUCAUUCACCAAAGAAUAAACAAAGAUUCAAGUAGAUCAGGAGUUAGAACUAAAGAUGGCGUACAAGAAAGUUUGAUCGAUGAAAACAUACGUGAAUUAUCAGAGACAGAAGCGCAAAGUAAGUUUAAAAGUAUGUUUGUUUAUUUUCACAACUUUUGAGUUUUGAGUCUGAGUGUUGAUAUCUGUGCAGGUCUGGUAGAUAUGCGGCAUAUACAGUAUGUAUAUAUAUAUAUAUAUAUAUAUAUAAAUUAAAUCAACACUUAAAUAGAACUUUAUCAACAGCAUACAGUUUAUUAAAAGGUCUUAUCCAGUAACGCACAUUUACCAAGCAAGGGCAGCUGUCUGUGUCUUUGCAUGCAUUAACCACAAACUGGGUCUCAUUUCAUUUUGUUCUUUUAUUUUAGAAUUUUUAAAGAUGAUGUUAACCAGACCCUCAAAAACAAUGAUGCAGAGAACAAUGAAGAACAGGUCAUAAAUGAAGAUGCGCAUAAAUCUGAGAAAAAUGAAGAAGACAGGACGGAUGAUAAUGAAUUUGGUAAAUGCAAAGUUCUAAGCAACACCAUGCAGUUUGGAGUUUAAAAAUAUCUCUAUGGUUGAUAAGUCUGGAACUUUAAACGAAAUAUCCAUGACAUCCACAAGGGCUAUAAAACAAAACAAA